rnacentral:lncRNA from 1 species
GGGCACUUGAGUGGGUGGUCACUUCACAUAAACCCAUGCUUCCUAUGUCCUUGGAUCUUAUCAAGGCCUCUCAGUUGGGGCACAUGCCUCCCCCUCCCUCUCCUCUUCCUCUGCUGCGCCAGCAGGAACCAAGUUCUCUUCCAAGGAACGGCAGGGCUGCCUCCAUCUCACUGUGCUCAUUUGACCACUUCCUUCUUCUUUCCUUUCUC